rnacentral:rRNA from 1 species
UACGUAGGGGCGAGCGUUGUCCGGAUUUAUUGGGCGUAAAGCGCUCGCAGGCGGUCCGAUGCGUCGUGCGUGAAAGCCCCCGGCUCAACUGGGGAGGGUCGUGCGAUACGGUCGGACUUGAGGCCAGUAGGGGGAUGCGGAAUUCCGGGUGUAGUGGUGGAAUGCGUAGAGAUCCGGAGGAACACCAGCGGCGAAGGCGGCAUCCUGGACCGGUAUUGACGCUGAGGCGCGAAAGCUAGGGUAGCAAACGGG